UGGAUUUCAAGUAAUCAACCAAUCAAAGAUGGUGAGCAUUCUGGCAAAAGUAAAGAGAUAGUACUCGAGGAUCAAGAAUCGAAGUACUCAGAAUUCGACUCUCGAAAUAGCUCAGGAUAGUCGGUAGAUAGCUCAUUUCGUUGAGGGCU